ACCUGGUUGAUCCUGCCAGUAGUCAUACGCUUGUCUCAAAGAUUAAGCCAUGCAUGUCUAAGUAUAAACAUUUUGUACUGUGAACUGCGAUGGCUCAUUAUAUCAGUUAUAGUCUACUCGAUAGUACCUUACUACUUGGAUACCCGUAGUAAUUUCUAGAGCUAAUACAUGCAUCAAUACCCAACUGCUGGUCGAGGCGAGUAGCAUUUAUUAGAUUGAAACCAAUGCAGUCUUCGGGCUGAGUAUGGUGUUGAGUCAUAAUAACUGUGCGGAUCGCGCUUUUGCGCGAUAAAUCGAUUGAGUUUCUGCCCUAUCAGCUUUAGAUGAGUAGAAUAUGAGGCCUACCAUGAGCAUUAACGGGUAACGGAGAUUAGAGUUUGAUUCGAGAGAGGGAGCUUUAGAAACGGCUACCACAUCCAAGGAGGGCAGCAGGCGCGUAAAUUACCAAUCUGUACACAGGGGAGUAGGUGACACAAAAAAAAAAAAAUAACAUUGCUGUGGCUCUUCGAGUCGGGCAAUUGGAAUGAGAACAAUUUAACUCCCUUAACGAGGAUCAAUUGGAGGGCAAGUCUGGUGCCAGCAGCCGCGGUAAUUCCAGCUCCAAUAGCGUAUAUUAAAGUUGUUGCAGUUAAAAAGCUCGUAGUUGGAUUUCUGUUUUGGAUGUCCGGUCCGCUCCCUCUGGGAGUGUGUACUUAUGGAUAUUCGAGGCAUUUUUUGUGAGGCUGCCUUUCUGCCAUUAAGUUGGUGGGUUGGUGGGCUUGCAUCGUUUACUGUGAAAAAAUUAGAGUGUUAAAGCAGGCGUUUGCUCAUUUGAAUACAUUAGCAUGGAAUAAUAAGAUACGGCCUUGGUGGUCUAUUUUGUUGGUUUGCACACCAGGGUAAUGAUUAAUAGGGACAGUUGGGGGUAUUCAUAUUUCAGCGUCAGAGUGAAAUUCUGGAUCGCUGAAGAUGAGCUUAGGCGAA